rnacentral:rRNA from 1 species
CACGUAGGGGGCGAGCGUUGUCCGGAUUUACUGGGCGUAAAGAGCUCGUAGGCGGCUCAGUAAGUCAGGUGUGAAAACUCCAGGCUCAACCUGGAGACGGCACCUGAUACUGCUAUGGCUAGAGUCCGGUAGGGGAGCAUGGAAUUCCUGGUGUAGCGGUGAAAUGCGCAGAUAUCAGGAGGAACACCAGUGGCGAAGGCGGUGCUCUGGGCCGGAACUGACGCUGAGGAGCGAAAGCGUGGGGAGCAAACAGG